UGGGGAAUAUUGCGCAAUGGGCGAAAGCCUGACGCAGCGACGCCGCGUGGGGGAUGACGGCCUUCGGGUUGUAAACCUCUUUCGACCUCGACGAAGCGAAAGUGACGGUAGGGGUAGAAGAAGCACCGGCCAACUACGUGCCAGCAGCCGCGGUAAUACGUAGGGUGCGAGCGUUGUCCGGAAUUAUUGGGCGUAAAGAGCUCGUAGGCGGUCUGUCGCGUCGGUCGUGAAAACUUGGGGCUUAACCCUGAGCUUGCGGUCGAUACGGGCAUGACUGGAGUUCGGCAGGGGAGACUGGAAUUCCUGGUGUAGCGGUGAAAUGCGCAGAUAUCAGGAGGAACACCGGUGGCGAAGGCGGGUCUCUGGGCCGAUACUGACGCUGAGGAGCGAAAGCGUGGGGAGCGAACAG
rnacentral:rRNA from 1 species